GACCUGGUGGUGAAUGGCUCAUACCUACUUUACUUGCAUUGGUUGUCGGAAUACGGUGGGAGUCCCCGGUUCAAAUCCGGGCCAGGUCA